rnacentral:sRNA from 1 species
AAAAAAAAAACUUACAGAAAGAAAUGCAAAAUUGUUUUCUAAAUUGAUGAAACAACUUGUUUAUACCUCAUUUAAUUUAAUCUGAAAAUUGAUGACAUUAUUUACAUUGCAUUGUAAUUUAAGGGCAGCGACUAUACAUUUACAAUAAUAUUUAUACUUUCCUGAAAAACCAGCUACAAUGUUAAUGAAAGGAAGAAUAUGAUUUAAAAUAUUUAUAUCUGGUGUUUUUUUUUUUUCAUUUGAAUAGACCAAAUCCAUUGUCAGUCUUUGAUAUGACUUUAGAUGUGUAAUAUGUUCAACCAUUUUCAGCUUAUUACUUUUAUAUUGUAUUUUGUCAAUAAACAAAAAUAUACAA